rnacentral:tRNA from 1 species
GGGGAGGUUCCCGAGUGGUCAAAGGGGGCAGACUGUAAAUCUGUUGGCACAGCCUUCGAAGGUUCGAAUCCUUCUCUCCCCA